AACGCACCUUGCGCCCCUUGGCAUUCCGAGGGGCACACCCGUUUGAGUGUCGUGAAAUUCUCAAAACCCUUUCUUUUGGUCAUUUUCGACCGCGGAAAGGAUUUUGGACUUGGAGGCCUUUUGCUGGUUUCACCUUGAAGCGAGCUCCUCCCAAAUGUAUUAGUGGGGUCUGCAUUGUCGGUCCUUGGCGUGAUAAGUUGCUUCUACGUCUUGGAUUUUUGGCGCUGUACACCUGCUUCUAACCGUCUCAUUGACAACGAUGGUGUUCCGGUCGCCACCGAUUUUUCGGUGGGAGGCUUGACCCACGAAACAAACCUUGACCUCAAAUCGGGUGAGACUACCCGCUGAACUUAA
rnacentral:misc_RNA from 3 species